rnacentral:snRNA from 1 species
GGGCAAUCUGGCUAAGAGCUCUGUCACCUCAUUGAUCAUCAGGGUUCAUACACUUGAUCUGGGUGGCGAGGCAAUUUCCCCUUCCUUUCUCCCAAAGCUGCAUGCUCAAUAGAAGAAGAUAGCCCUCUCCAAUAGAGGAGGACCAUUCUUUGGUCAAGGAUAUAUAAAUAGCUGCAUUUCCCUUCUAGUACCACCAAACAAACUCUCAAGGUCAAAUGCCACUCAGCCCAGACUGGUAAGAUAUGACUUUGUGCUAACAGUUCCCAUGAUGCAGGUCGCUGCAUCUUUUUUAUG